rnacentral:rRNA from 1 species
AGUGAACGCUGGCGAUAGGCCUAACACAUGCAAGUCGAACGGCAGCACAGUAAGAGCUUGCUCUUACGGGUGGCGAGUGGCGGACGGGUGAGGAAUACAUCGGAAUCUACUUUUUCGUGGGGGAUAACGUAGGGAAACUUACGCUAAUACCGCAUACGACCUACGGGUGAAAGCAGGGGAUCUUCGGACCUUGCGCGAUUGAAUGAGCCGAUGUCGGAUUAGCUAGUUGGCGGGGUAAAGGCCCACCAAGGCGACGAUCCGUAGCUGGUCUGAGAGGAUGAUCAGCCACACUGGAACUGAGACACGGUCCAGACUCCUACGGGAGGCAGCAGUGGGGAAUAUUGGACAAUGGGCGCAAGCCUGAUCCAGCCAUACCGCGUGGGUGAAGAAGGCCUUCGGGUUGUAGAGCCCUUUUGUUGGGAAAGAAAAGCAGCAGGUUAAUACCCCGCUGUUCUGACGGUACCCAAAGAAUAAGCACCGGCUAACUUCGUG